GACGAACGCUGGCGGCGUGCUUAACACAUGCAAGUCGAACGGGAGUAUCGAAGAAGCUUGCUUUUAAGAUACUUUAGUGGCGGACGGGUGAGUAACGCGUGAGGAGCUGUCCUAUGCAGGGGGACAACAGUUGGAAACGACUGCUAAUACCCCAUAAGCCGAGAGGUAAAAGGAUUUAUCCGGCAAAGGAGGUACUCGCGUCCUAUCAGCUAGUAGGUUGGGUAACGGCCGACCUAGGCGAAGACGGGUAGCCGGCCUGAGAGGGCGAACGGCCACACUGGAACUGAGAUACGGUCCAGACUCCUACGGGAGGCAGCAGUGGGGAAUAUUGGGCAAUGGGGGCAACCCUGACCCAGCGACGCCGCGUGGGUGAAGAAAUCCUUCGGGAUGUAAAGCCCUGUUGUAUGGGAAGAGCAGAAGACGGUACCAUACGAGGAAGCCCCGGCAAACUACGUGCCAGCCGCCGCAGUAA
rnacentral:rRNA from 1 species